rnacentral:rRNA from 1 species
GGCCAGACUCCUACGGGAGGCAGCAGUGAGGAAUAUUGGUCAAUGGACGAGAGUCUGAACCAGCCAAGUAGCGUGAAGGAUGACUGCCCUAUGGGUUGUAAACUUCUUUUAUAUGGGAAUAAAACGUUCCACGUGUGGGAUUUUGUAUGUACCAUAUGAAUAAGGAUCGGCUAACUCCGUGCCAGCAGCCGCGGUAAUACGGAGGAUCCGAGCGUUAUCCGGAUUCAUUGGGUUUAAAGGGUGCGUAGGUUGUUUUAUAAGUUAGCGGUGAAAUACCGAUGCUCAACAUCGGGGCUGCCGUUGAAACCGGAGCGCUAGAAUUCCGAUGCCGUCGGAGGAAUGUGUGGUGUAGCGGUGAAAUGCAUAGAUAUCACACAGAACACCGAUUGCGGAGGCAUCUGACGAAUCGGAGAUUGACGCUGAUGCACGAAAGCGUGGGUAUCGAACAGGAUUAGAUACCCUUGUA